GAUGAACGCUGGCGGCGUGCCUAAUACAUGCAAGUCGAGCGAACAGACGAGGAGCUUGCUCCUCUGACGUUAGCGGCGGACGGGUGAGUAACACGUGGAUAACCUACCUAUAAGACUGGGAUAACUUCGGGAAACCGGAGCUAAUACCGGAUAAUAUAUUGAACCGCAUGGUUCAAUAGUGAAAGACGGUUUUGCUGUCACUUAUAGAUGGAUCCGCGCCUCAUUAGCUAGUUGGGAAGGUAAAGGCUUACCAAGGGAACGAUGCGUAGGCGACCUGUGAGGGUGGUCGGCCACACUGGAAGUGAGACGCGGUCCAGACUCCUACGGGAGGCAGCAGUAGGGAAUCUUCCGCAAUGGGCGAAAGCCUGACGGAGCAACGCCGCGUGAGAGAUAGCGGUCUUCGGAUCGUAAAACUCUGUUAUUAGGGAAGAACAAAUGUGUAAGUAACUAUGCACGGCUUGACGGUACCUAAUCAGAAAGCCACGGCUAACUACGUG
rnacentral:rRNA from 1 species